GGAGGCAGCAGUAGGGAAUCUUCCGCAAUGGGCGAAAGCCUGACGGAGCAACGCCGCGUGAGUGAUGAAGGUCUUCGGAUCGUAAAACUCUGUUAUUAGGGAAGAACAAGGGUGUAAGUAACUAUGCACCCCUUGACGGUACCUAAUCAGAAAGCCACGGCUAACUACGUGCCAGCAGCCGCGGUAAUACGUAGGUGGCAAGCGUUAUCCGGAAUUAUUGGGCGUAAAGCGCGCGUAGGCGGUUUUUUAAGUCUGA
rnacentral:rRNA from 1 species